AAGUCGUAACAAGGUUUCCGUAGGUGAACCUGCGGAAGGAUCAUUAACACGUUUCUAUCAUAAAACGUACACAAAACGCGAACUAAGUUUUCCGAUCCUUGACUUUGCAUGUGGAUUGACAACUGAGAGAGAUAAUGAUGUGGACGAUCGUAAGAUUGUCAUCUCUCCGGUUUCCAGUUGUGUCGGCACUUGUGCUGAUGCAGACAAUUGUGAUGCAGAUGUCAGGACAUACCUCUUGCUUGUAACUUACCUCACAUUGUGUGAGUUCAAGCGAGAAUACUAUUCACACAUUUCACCAUACUUUUUGCUAGUUGACUUUAUCUGUUACUAUUCGCAAGGAUCGUAGCACGUUUAUUAAUUGAACGUAAAAUUGUACAACUCUUAGCAAUGGAUAUCUUGGUUCUC
rnacentral:misc_RNA from 1 species